AUUACUGCAGGUGCUGUCAGAAUGGUAUAAUUUAAGUCCUGUUUUUUGUUUUUUUUUUUUCUUUUUUCCAGUGCAAGAAAAGGAGCUAAUCAUUAUAAAAACUCCCAUUGUUUAGGAAGUCACUACUCAAAAUGAAUUCAGCUUUUUUGAUGACAAGUGAUUUCUCUCACCCCAAGGAGCAUUUCAGAGCAUCCACACAACAACCAUGCAUGAACCCCAGCUGGUGAAGGAGGCAAGAUUCCAAGUGUCUUUACUCUGCAGUGCAGUCACAGCUCCCAGAAAACUCUCUUAUGUUUAUUCCCACUACUCUGCAUGA
rnacentral:lncRNA from 1 species